rnacentral:rRNA from 1 species
AUUGAACGCUGGCGGAGUGCUUUACACAUGCAAGUCGAACGGCAGCACGGGGGCAACCCUGGUGGCGAGUGGCGAACGGGUGAGUAAUACAUCGGAACGUGCCCAGUCGUGGGGGAUAACGUAGCGAAAGUUACGCUAAUACCGCAUACGAUCUACGGAUGAAAGCGGGGGACCGUAAGGCCUCGCGCGAUUGGAGCGGCCGAUGUCAGAUUAGGUAGUUGGUGAGGUAAAGGCUCACCAAGCCGACGAUCUGUAGCUGGUCUGAGAGGACGACCGGCCACACUGGGGCUGAGACACGGCCCAGACUCCUACGGGAGGCAGCAGUGGGGAAUUUUGGACAAUGGGCGCAAGCCUGAUCCAGCCAUUCCGCGUGCAGGACGAAGGCCUUCGGGUUGUAAACUGCUUUUGUACGGAACGAAAAGGCUCUGGUUAAUACCUGGGGCUCAUGACGGUACCGUAAGAAUAAGCACCGGCUAACUACGUGCCAGCAGCCGCCGUAA